rnacentral:tRNA from 1 species
GGGGAGCUCAAUGGUAGAGCACUGUGCUUAGCAUGCACAAGGUCCUGGGUUCAAUCCCCAAUACCUCCA